GGGUACCUACGGGGCGCAGCAGUAGGGAAUUUUCGUCAAUGGGCGCAAGCCUGAACGAGCAAUGCCGCGUGAACGAGGAAGGUCUUCGGAUCGUCAAGUUCUGUUGAAGGGGAAAAAGAGCGGAGAGAGGAAAUGCUUUCUGAUUGAUAUUACCCUUCGAGGAAGUCACGGCUAACUACGUGCCAGCAGCCGCGGUAAUCCGUAGGUGGCGAGCGUUAUCCGGAAUGAUUGGGCGUAAAGGGGGCGUAGGCGGCCUGCUACGUCUGGAGUGAACGGUACCGGCUCAACCGGUACAGGCUCUGGAA
rnacentral:rRNA from 1 species